GACGAACGCUGGCGGCGUGCCUAAUACAUGCAAGUCGAACGCAGUGGGGACGGGUGAGUAACACGUGGGUAACCUCCCCAUCAGAGGGGAUAACACUUGGAAACAGGUGCUAAACCGAUACUGAUGGAUGGACCCCCGGUGCAUUAGCUAGUGGGUGAGGUAACGGCCCACCAAGGCCACGAUGAAUAGCGGACCGGGGAGGGUGAUCGGCCACACUGGGACUGGGAAACGGCCCAGAUUCCUACGGGGGGCAUCAGUAGGGAAUCUUCGGCAAUGGACGAAAGUCGGACCGAGCAACGCCGCGGGGGUGAAGAAGGUUUUCGGAUCGUAAACCUCUGUUGUUAGAGAGGCGGUAUCUAACCAGAAAGCCACGGCUAACUACGUGCCAGCAGCCGCGGUAAUAC
rnacentral:rRNA from 1 species